CUACGUGUAAACAAAUAUAGCGUAUUUCGCAACACAAACGUAAUUGAUUAACACCAAAACCUUCUUUGCUAGCAUAAAAAAGUUGCAUGGAAGCAAAUAACUUUAUACUGCUAACUUAUACCUACAACAACAGAACAGAAAGGAGUUUUAAAGGACUAUAAUGAGUAUUCAAGAAUUCUACAAAGAUAUUGAUUAUCUGACUAGGUAUUUGAAUACAAAUUACCCCAACGACACAGAAAUACAGACCUGGAGUUCAUUAUACCGUGAUAAGUAUGUAAACCUUAUUGGACAGGAUGUCUGGAAUCAGCAUCAGUACACAAAACUCCAGGAAGAAAACUAUCAAUUAAAUCAAAAUAUAAUAGAAUUACAGCAUCAAUUGGCAACAUUUCAAAAAGAGAGCAAUAAUACCAAAGAAAACACAUCUAAGAAAACAACAA